GCCGCGUGCGGUGGUGCGUGCCUGUAGCCCCAGCUACUCGGGAGGCUGAGGCUGGAGGAUCGCUUGAGCCCAGGAGUUCUGGGCUGUAGUGCGCUAUGCCUAUUGGGUGUCCGCACUAAGUUCGGCAUCAAUAUGGUGAGCUCCCAGGAGCGGGGGGCCACCAGGUUGCCUAAGGAGGAGUGAACCAGCCCAGUUCGUCAGGUCAGAGACGGAGCAGGUCAAAGCUCCCAUCCUGAUCAGUAGUGGGAUCGCGCCUGUGAAUAGCCACUGCACUCCAGCCUGGGCAACAUAGCGAGACCCCGUCUCUA
rnacentral:SRP_RNA from 1 species